GAUGAAGAACGUAGCGAAAUGCGAUAAGUAAUGUGAAUUGCAGAAUUCAGUGAACCAUCGAAUCUUUGAACGCACAUUGCGCCUGGCAGUACUCUGCCGGGCAUGCCUGUCCGAGCGUCAUUUCUGCCCUCGAGCGAGUCCAGCAUCUAGGUGCUGGGCCCGCCCGGCGUUGGGGCACUACGGGAAGCCCUGUGCUGUCCCCCGUAGGCCCCGAAAUGAAGUGGCGGUCCUGCCGCGGCGCCCCCUGCGUAGUAUAACAGCUGGCUUCGGGACCCGGUGGAGGCCUGCCGUCAAACCUUACUCUCUAAGUUUGACCUCGGAUCAGGUAGGGUUACCCGCUGAACUUAAGCAUAUCAAUAAGCGGAGGA
rnacentral:misc_RNA from 1 species